AUUGAACGCUGGCGGCAGGCCUAACACAUGCAAGUCGAACGAGCGGCGGACGGGUGAGUAAUGUCUGGGGAUCUGCCCGAUGGAGGGGGAUCACUACUGGAAACGGUGGCUAAUACCGCAUACUGUCGGGUGUACCCAGAUGGGAUUAGCUAGUAGGUGGGGUAAAGGCUCACCUAGGCGACGAUAUCUAGCUGGUCUGAGAGGAUGAUCAGCCACACUGGGACUGAGACACGGCCCAGACUCCUACGGGAGGCAGCAGUGGGGAAUAUUGCACAAUGGGCGCAAGCCUGAUGCAGCCAUGCCGCGUGUAUGAAGAAGGCCUUAGGGUUGUAAAGUACUUUCAGCGGGGAGGCGUUACCCGCAGAAGAAGCACCGGCUAACUCCGUGCCAGCAGCCGCGGUAAUUC
rnacentral:rRNA from 1 species